CAAGCGCAAGAAGUAGAAGAAGCUCAUCAAGGUAGGCAGCAGAGAAGGGUCAUGUCAUACCCAAAAACCACAUAGACAACAAAGAGAACGAGCUCAUCAAGGUUGCAACGCAAGGGGGUUGCCAGGCUGUUCAAUGCGUUGAGCAAAGCACAGAAUCCUCGGAAAGGUUUGAAUGAACCCAGCAAGAAGUAAAAACGCCAAAGGUGGAUCUUUCAAGAUUUUGAGUUGUGAGACUUAAAUUGGAUGAGCUGGUCCCGCAUUUUGUUUUAGAAAAAGAAAGAAAACAUAUUCCUUGUGGAACUGAAGAAAUUAUCUCAUCAAGAUCAAAAGUGGUAGGCCUCUUCUAACUUCUCUAAGGUAGUGACUACUAACUCUUUCUUUACUAAGAAUUGAUCCAUUUAGUUUACAUGCUUCUGAUGCUAAUAUAUUUUUUUCUAUCUUCAAAUUCAAGUUAGUUCACAUCAGGCGCAUAUCCGCUGCAUUUUUCUCUUGGCAAACAUUGUUUCAGGCUAAAAUUUCAAUGUCUGUUCUUAAAUAAAUCAACAGACUAACUGCACAGCAUGUCAUUUGAUGAACUUGUGACAGGAACAUGUUACUACUUUCCAUCACUACAUUUAUAGAUUGAUGGGUGGAAUUGUGUGCAAAAAAAUUCCAUACUGUAACUUGGCAUGAAACUUCAAGCAACAUCCAUAGCACACUACCGUCAUUAUGCACGUGAGUCUGAGCACGUAGUGUCAUGGAGCUCAACCCAUUAUAACUUCCCUUUGUUAAAGUUUGGGAUUGUGGCAAUGAGGGUUUUACCAUUAUGCAUUAAGAGAUGCAAGAGAUGUUGAGCAGCAAAAUUUAUAGCUAGACAACCUCUCGUAAGGGUGAGUAAGCUAUUUAACCCAUAGUUAUAAUGCUGGAUUGUUGAUCAAGCUAGCUAAGUUGCUAGUCCAUUGAUUGGACAAGUACAUUGUAAUUAGAGUAAUUACACUUAAUUAAUGUUCUAAAAGGUGGCCGCUUGGCCGUUGCUCUUUUGCCAGAGUCAGCAAAUUGGACGGAUUGGUGGACUUAGAGGGCCUAGGUGGGCUAUAUCUGGCAACUAUAACCAUCAGAGGAGUUGGCUGAUCAGCAGUGACCAUGGCCACCAUGACGACCUGCGCCAACACCUCCUUCCUCUCCUCCCUUUUCUCUCCUUGACAAAGGCGACAUGCCUGAUGUCCCCUUUACACUAGUCCGCUGCCUAGGUUCCCUAGGUGGUAGGUGGUACCCACCACCCUCACCACCUACCGUGUAACUUUUUAUAUCAUUGCACUUAACCCCUAGGUGGUUGUUCACAUGGUUUAGAAAACCUCAGAUUAAACUAUUGAAGUACAUUUUACACUAAGUCGCAUUAAUUCUGGUUUAAGAAACUUUCGUCCUAUUGUUUUAUUUGCAAAGGUUUGUGUUUAAAAAAACAUUUUUGAAAGAUUUGUAGUUGACAUGUAGACCUCUCAUCACAUGGCAAGAAUAACAAGGGGAAUUGGAAAAAAAUGGCACCCUAGGGUUUUCUUAAUCUUUUUAGCACCAAUUAAAGAUAUCAGGCGAAAUUUCUGCCUUCACAAAUUAAAAAGUCAGGUGAUGUGUAGUGACUCUUAGGCGAAUAGCUGUCUGAGCAACAUCAGAAUGUUUAAACCUACUUUAAGCAAUGUUUGUAUAUAUAAUUGAAUUUUAAUUCGCCUGGAGAUAGUUGAUCUACCUUUUUUUAAGCAAAUCGGGGAAGAUGAAGACGAACCAUGGUGAGCACCUCUGCGUGGCACAUACAUGCUUGGUUCUAAACUGAAGGACUGGGAUAAAAUGCACUAGGAUUCUGCUGUAGCGAGUGAACAAACUGAGGUCCCUUUGGGUGAAUCUUCUGAAGAGGCAUAGGAAAACAAAACAAAAAAAAUCCAGUCCAAGCAGCAUUAGAGAUUCUGUUCCUGCAUUCUGCUCUACACAGUGUAUUCUUCUCAUUGACUUGCAAAGCGAGAUCGGUCCUGGAUAUGCAAGUAAACCCUAAAUUUGCAGAUGGCACUUGUUUAUUGCAUUGUAUAUUUGUAUUUGGGGGUAAAUAUAGGUAGGUAAACAAAAGAAGGUAAGUAGUCCCACCCUUGGCCCUUCUCUAAUUACUUCGCAUGUAUUUGAACUUUUGAAGGUUUUGGAAUGGGUAAUCGGAUUCAGCAGUUGUCACCUAACAUAACCAUGUGUUAUGAGUUAGCUCAUGCGGAACCAAUUUGUCGUCAUGUUGGUACGAGUCAUUUGUAGUGUUUACCACAUUUUCUGAGUUUAGUUUGAUCUGUUACAUGGAUUUAAGCAAGAAAGUUCCAUAGGACUUUUGUGGGAAGUAUACAAAUACAAUGUCCCUAUGAAACUCCUGUAUCUCGAAUAAGAUAUGUGG